GUCCUUGUCGAUUAGUGGUUAGAUCAUCACGUUGUGGUAAACGCAAAUCCGUGAAGACGGAGGCUCGAAUCCUCCCUGGGACA
rnacentral:tRNA from 1 species